GUGGUAAUGCCGGAUGCUCCAGUCCAUCGCAUGGUGGUCUGGGAAAGAUUCUAUCGGUAUGGGAUGGGGUCGCGUCCUAUCAGCUUGAUGGCGGGGUAACGGCCCACCAUGGCCUCGACGGGUAGCCGGCCUGAGAGGGCGACCGGCCACAUUGGGACUGAGAUACGGCCCAGACUCCUACGGGAGGCAGCAGUGGGGAAUAUUGCACAAUGGGCGCAAGCCUGAUGCAGCGACGCCGCGUGCGGGAUGGAGGCCUUCGGGUUGUAAACCGCUUUUGAUCGGGAGCAAGCCCUUCGGGGUGAGUGUACCCUUCGAAUAAGCACCGGCUAACUACGUGCCAGCAGCCGCGGUAAUACGUAGGGUGCAAGCGUUAUCCGGAAUUAUUGGGCGUAAAGGGCUCGUAGGCGGUUCGUCGCGUCCGGUGUGAAAGCCCAUCGCUUAACGGUGGGUCUGCGCCGGGUACGGGCGGGCUGGAGUGCGGUAGGGGAGACUGGAAUUCCCGGUGUAACGGUGGAAUGUGUAGAUAUCGGGAAAAGAACACCA
rnacentral:rRNA from 1 species